rnacentral:rRNA from 1 species
UACGUAGGGUGCAAGCGUUGUCCGGAAUUAUUGGGCGUAAAGAGCUCGUAGGCGGUCUGUCGCGUCUGCUGUGAAAACUCAGGGCUUAACCCCGGGCCUGCAGUGGGUACGGGCAGACUAGAGUGCGGUAGGGGAGACUGGAAUUCCUGGUGUAGCGGUGAAAUGCGCAGAUAUCAGGAGGAACACCAGCGGCGAAGGCGGCUGCUCGUCGGGCCGGUACUGACGCUGAGGAGCGGAAAGCGUGGGGAGCGAACAGG